GAUGAACGCUGGCGGCGUGCCUAAUACAUGCAAGUCGAGCGAACAGACGAGGAGCUUGCUCCUCUCACGUUAGCGGCGGACGGGUGAGUAACACGUGGAUAACCUACCUAUAAGACUGGGAUAACUUCGGGAAACCGGCGCUAAUACCGGAUAAUAUAUUGAACCGCAUGGUUCAAUAGUGAAAGACGGUUUUGCUGUCACUUAUAGAUGGAUCCGCGCCGCAUUAGCUAGUUGGUAAGGUAACGGCUUAGCAAGGCAACGAUGCGUAGCCGACCUGAGAGGCUGAUCGGCCGCACUGGAACUGAGACGCGGUCCAUGCUCCUGCGGUAGGCAGCAGUAGGGAAUCUUCCGCAGUGGGCGAAAGCCUGGCGGAGCAGCGCGGCGUGAGUGAUAGAAAUGUUCGGAUCGUGAUACUGUGUUAUUGGGGAUGAACAGAUGUGUAAGUAGCUGUGCAGUUCUUGACGGUAACGGGUCAGGAAGCCACGGCUAACUACGUG
rnacentral:rRNA from 1 species